rnacentral:misc_RNA from 1 species
AGCAGCCGCGGUAAUUCCAGCUCCAAUAGCGUAUAUUAAAGUUGCUGCAGUUAAAAAGCUCGUAGUUGAAUUUCGGGACCAUCAUGUCGGUCGUGCCUCGGUACGUACUGGCAUUGUUGGUUUCUCCCUUCUGACGAACCAUGAUGUCAUUUAUUUGGUGUCGUGGGAAAUCAGGACUGUUACUUUGAAAAAAUUAGAGUGUUUAAAGCAAGCUAACGCUUGAAUACAUUAGCAUGGAAUAAUGAAAUAGGACGUUCGAUCCUAUUUUGUUGGUUUCUAGGAUUGACGUAAUGAUUAAUAGGGAUAGUUGGGGGCAUUAGUAUUCAAUUGUCAGAGGUGAAAUUCUUAGAUUUAUUGAAGACUAACUACUGCGAAAGCAUUUGCCAAGGAUGUUUUCAUUAAUCAAGAACGAAAGUUAGGGGAUCGAAGACGAUCAGAUACCGUCGUAGUCUUAACCAUAAACUAUGCCGACUAGGGAUCGGAUGAUGUUAAUUUUUUAAUGACUCAUUCGGCGCCUUAU